UUAGCUGCAUUUUACACAGUGACGUGGGGGCUAUUUAACCACCUCGACCUGCAGAACGUGUCUUAAAGUACUACAGCCUCGGGAAGCAAAGGUGAACAACAUGAAGACAUUUGCGCUGGUUUUUUUCGUUUUCCUGAUCUUGGCUGCAGUUUGCACAGAUGCCAAUCCCAUCAUGAAGGAGAGCGUUGCUAAGCAGCUCUUCCGCAGCAAGAGGCAGGAUAAUCCCUACGAGUGGGAGAUCAUGCUGGACCUGAUCGAGAGGUGCUGGGAGCAGAAAUCAGUUCCGGUGAUGGUCUAGCGCCGAGCUGGAGGGGACCGCGUCCAGGGGCCCCCCACAACGUGACCCGACGGACGCACGACGACAACGAAGGCGACGACGAGGAAUCAAAGACGAGCGCGCGCUUCUAUGUUGGGCUGUUUCCCUUCAGGCCAUCAAGUGAUUCACUAUAGAGUGAUAUCAUCUAAACAUUAAAAGCGUAGGCCUAGACCCUCA